CGGGGGAGCAAGCGUUGUUCGGAUUUACUGGGCGUAAAGGGCGCGUAGGCGGCGCAACAAGUCACUUGUGAAAUCUCCGGGCUUAACCCGGAGCGGCCAAGUGAUACUGUCGUGCUAGAGUGCGGAAGGGGCUACUGGAAUUCUCGGUGUAGCGGUGAAAUGCGUAGAUAUCGAGAGGAACACCUGCGGCGAAGGCGGGUAGCUGGGCCGACACUGACGCUGAUGCGCGAAAGCCAGGGGAGCGAACGGGAUUAGAUACCCCGGUAGUCCUGGCCUUAAACGAUGGAUACUUGGUGUCCGGGGUUACAUAGUCCCCGGGUGCCGGCGCUAACGCAUUAAGUAUCCCGCCUGGGGAGUACGGUCGCAAGACUG
rnacentral:rRNA from 1 species